GCCAUUUCCAUAGCUUUCUAAAGCGCUCACACAUGUGUAAUGUACAAUAAAUGUGUUAUUACAUACACACAUCAUUUCCAUCAGAAACACAUGCAAUUCAUAACAAUCAAAACAGAAAAACACUACACUUUGUCUCUUCACAGGAAUAAGUUCUACAGAUUCCAGGAACAAUGAAACUGAGAUCCACAAUCCCUUCUAUGAAAUUCUAAAAUCCAAAAAGUUCAGAAAACCAAAGUUUUACAUAAAUGAGUGCUUAAAACCACAGUUUUAUAUGAAUUCAGAUUGUAACCGGAACCAAAAUGAGGAUAGUUAAAAUUUAUUUAUCCCACUCACCAUGCCUAUCAAUGUUUCACUUCUGAUCUCUCUAAGGAAUGUUAAAUAAUACUAAGUACAUACCACUAAUUCAGUUUUUAAAAUUGAAAAGAAUGUUGGACUUCAAAACAAAUUCACUAUCAAAGUUUGAACUAAGGCCCUCUGGAAUCCCAUUGUUGUAUACUUUUUUAAAGUUCGUUCACGUAAUUACUUUCCCUAUACAGCUUUAACUCACUGCAACCUCUAUCAGGAAAGAAAGCAGAAUAAAGCGAAGGAGGGAGCCACGCUGAAAUUCCACGAGUUUGACUUUUCCAGAUUCCACAUAACUCGAUUUCUGGGAGCAACUAACCAUGCAGGGGACACAGACGUUGGCAACGACCGAGACUGCUCCAACCCACAAAACAAAUUCAUUAAAUACGGUAGACAGAGACUUCCAGACCCUGGAUAGGCAGGGCCUGCACUACGCCCCUCAUUAGCAGGAAGCAGUUACAGAAGAGAUGAUUCAACGUCCAUCAACUCCCCUUAGGAUUAAGGGGAUGGAGUCUCUGAGGGGGGAAUGAAAUAGGCAGGCAUACAGGUUAAAAUUGAUUAGGCUUGUGAACUGGAAGACCACGCCUUUGUCACGCCCCCACGUAACCUCACACCCUACCAGAUAACCUUCUCCAUGGCCCUGUGUGACCCCAUGCUCCUACCUGGCCACACCUGAGUGCCCACCGGCCAAUCAGGUUAAUUAACCACUCCCCUUUGAAGUAGGUUAAAAGCCUGGGACAUGGUGUGCCCGCCCUC